rnacentral:lncRNA from 1 species
GUGAAUUGUUGGUAAUUAAAAAAUAACAUUCAUAGAAUGUUGGUGUGUUAAUUUAUUGGAGAAAAGUUUUGUUGAUAUUUUGGCAUUUUGGGGAAGAUAUUGAAGGACACAGAUUAUGCAAGAUUCAGCCACUUUUCUAUUGGAUACGAGAAAAAUUUCAAAUACCAAAACAUAAGUCAAUACAUACCCAGAUAAAGCAUUUUUAUAUUUGAUUGUUUUGAAAAUUUUCAUAAUUCCAAUAAAUAUUAUGUUUAAUGCCUGGUUGCACCAACAAAUCUUAAGCUUCAGCUUACUCAAGCUCAGCUUGUAGAUAGGGCCGCCUUAAGUUUCACUUACGUUGUACUAUAAUUUUUGAUUCUUAUCUAAGUACAUCUAAACUAAGACAAAGGUUGAGAUGAAAUCCACAUGGCAAUCCAUUGUGCCAAACUGAAAAUUGAUCUAAGAUUCAAUGGUGCAACUCAUAUUUUUCGUAAGCUGAGCUUAAGGCAUAUCUUUACUUUAAGAUCUGUCGGUGCAACCAGGCAUAUAUCAGCUAUAUUUUUGUUUCAAUAUCAAGUUUCAAUGUACUAUAGUUGAUUUUUUAACCAAGAGGAGUAAACUAAAAAGACAGAUUCACACCCAAGAAAGUUACUAGAAAAGUCACCAAAUUCAUCUUCUUUUUUCAUUGAUCAUAUCAGCUUUCGAUGAUAAUCCAUACAUAUUAUAUUAUACUAACACAUCGCUAGAGUGCUAAAAACAUCUGUUUUUAUAUAAAAGUAGACUAAAAAUCUAAAAAUUAAAGGAAUAAUGUAGAAAACACAAAAAAUCACUGAUAUACUUAAUUAACCUAUAAAAUGACAGAAGUGCCAAAAUUUCAUAAAUGUCAUUAGUGUCAUUCAGAGCUAAGUGACGACACCAUCUUUUUUAUUUGGAUUAGUGCUGUUUCACUCUUACGCAUAGUAAAGCUGCUACAGUUGUCCCCCUCUUCCGUGCCUAUCUUCACACUGAACGUCAUCAUAGAUUUUCUAUACAAUGUGUUAGAAAGAGAUGCAGCAAACCAGUCCAUGAGAUCUUGUCGUCAGUAAGCGCGGAAG